rnacentral:sRNA from 1 species
GAGGUAUGCGGUCAACGACCUAUGGUCGUC